rfam:Microgenomates (Shapirobacteria) bacterium GW2011_GWE1_38_10 TS68_C0006, whole genome shotgun sequence.
GGGUCGUUAGCUCAGUCGGUAGAGCAAUCGCCUCUUAAGCGAUUGGUCGAGAGUUCGAGUCUCUCACGACCCA